rnacentral:lncRNA from 1 species
UGAUGACUAAUUAUUUGUUUGCUAAUAAUCUUUUAAUUUUCAUUCAUCAGUUAAUUCCUUCCUCAUUAAGUUUUCAAACCCUCAUCUACUAAGAUCUUCUAGAAAAGUCAAUAUCUCUUAUUUACAGUUGAUCGUUGAAUCCCUAUAUAACAGCUUUACAGCCAGCUUCUGUUGUAUGUCUUGACACUUCGUCUUGGUGGGCUUCUUGUUGCUUCUUUUUCUUUUUUAUUUUUUUUUCUUGUGUGAAUUUAUUUCUAUGCAUUGACAGUUACUCGUAGAUUUAGUUACCUUUUGAAAUGCUAGCUUCAGAUCUUUUAUGAUUUUUUACUUUUACAGGUAUCUGAAGAGACGAGGUAUCUUUCUGCAACUUCACUAAGGAACUCGUCUCUCUCUUCCCACACAAACAGAGCACAGAAUGGAGCUGUAGUAUGGACUUCUUUCAGAAAGACGGCAACAAAAAUAAGACUCAGAGUAAAGGUUAGCAAGUCAUUUCUUAUUCUGUUUGUAGGUUUUCUUUGGUGUCUGUGUACUUGUUACACUUCAGUCCUGUUAAUGUUUGUACAGAGAAGUUCUUCAACAAUUUUUGCCUUUCUCAGUUUUACUUUGUAACUCAAACCCUCUGGUAUUCAUUAUUGGCUAUGAGUUCCAAGAAGGCCAUUUUGCAAACUAUUAACGUAAGAAUUAAUUUGCAAUUUAAAAACAAAUAUGUUUCCUCCAUUUUCAUUUCUUAAAUUAGCUUGAAUUGUA